GGACGAAAGUCUGACGGAGCAACGCCGCGUGAGUGAUGAAGGCUUUCGGGUCGUAAAACUCUGUUGUUAGGGAAGAACAAGUGCUAGUUGAAUAAGCUGGCACCUUGACGGUACCUAACCAGAAAGCCACGGCUAACUACGUGCCAGCAGCCGCGGUAAUACGUAGGUGGCAAGCGUUAUCCGGAAUUAUUGGGCGUAAAGCGCGCGCAGGUGGUUUCUUAAGUCUGAUGUGAAAGCCCACGGCUCAACCGUGGAGGGUCAUUGGAAACUGGGAGACUUGAGUGCAGAAGAGGAAAGUGGAAUUCCAUGUGUAGCGGUGAAAUGCGUAGAGAUAUGGAGGAACACCAGUGGCGAAGGCGACUUUCUGGUCUGUAACUGACACUGAGGCGCGAAAGCGUGGGGAGCAAACAGGAUUAGAUACCCUGGUAGUCCACGCCGUAAACGAUGAGUGCUAAGUGUUAGAGGGUUUCCGCCCUUUAGUGCUGAAGUUAACGCAUUAAGCACUCCGCCUGGGGAGUACGGCCGCAAGGCUGAAACUCAAAGGAAUUGACGGGGGCCCGCACAAGCGGU
rnacentral:rRNA from 1 species